GGUGAACGCUGGCGGCGUGCCUAAGACAUGCAAGUCGAGCGGGCCGCGGGGUUUUACUCCGUGGUCAGCGGCGGACGGGUGAGUAACGCGUGGGUGACCUACCCGGAAGAGGGGGACAACCCGGGGAAACUCGGGCUAAUCCCCCAUGUGGACCCGCCCCUUGGGGUGUGUCCAAAGGGCUUUGCCCGCUUCCGGAUGGGCCCGCGUCCCAUCAGCUAGUUGGUGGGGUAAUGGCCCACCAAGGCGACGACGGGUAGCCGGCCUGAGAGGGUGGCCGGCCACAGGGGCACUGCGACACGGGCCCCACUCCUACGGGAGGCAGCAGUUAGGAAUCUUCCGCAAUGGGCGCAAGCCUGACGGAGCGACGCCGCUUGGAGGAAGAAGCCCUUCGGGGUGUAAACUCCUGAACCCGGGACGAAACCCCCGACGAGGGGACUGACGGUACCGGGGUAAUAGCGCCGGCCAACUCCGUG
rnacentral:rRNA from 1 species